ensembl:lncRNA
CCCCUAUUGGUUAAGUGAGGGAAAUACAGCUUGUGUUCCUAAAAUACGUAACAGUCCCUCCUUGGUCAUCUUAGAUGACCAUACAAUAAUAUUUUAAAUCAUAAACACCAUUUACCACACCGAAAACAUAGUCAAAGUAGAAUCUAUCAUCAACACCAUCAACCGUCGUGGAAAGACCUCUUGAAGAGAGGGGAAAAACCACUACGCGUCCCCAUAAUACUGAGACGGCAUUCACGUUGUGGGUCUUGUUGAAAAUACAGGUCAUUAUUUAACAAUACAACAAUGAACAUGAAUCUUGUUAUCAUACAAUCACAUGGCCAAACAGCACACAAACAAAACUAUCAAUAGAAAUCCUGAGCUAAUACUUUUGGUCAUGUGCUACAAGGUCAUAAAAUAUUCAACAGGUGCAAAAGUAACGUAAAAAUUGAUGGUCAUAACACAAUUUUAAAAUUUCAAAAUGAUUGAUAAACUAAAAUGGAUUUGGGGGGUUCAGGUGAUCUUCGUGUAUUGGUGCGCCGGUUCAUGUGGGUGGUUUGGGCAUGGAUUUGGGGAGUUCAAGUGAUCUUCGUGUAUUGGUGUGCCGGUUCAUGUGGGUGGUUUGGGCAUGGAUUUGGGGAGUUCAUUGUUUUUUCUGUCGCCGUCGGGUCUGUAAUUCAUGAACCCAAGACUCGUCCCUCCUUGUCAAGGGCUCAUCUCAGAGAGGUUACUCCUACACCAUGGGAGCCUCCUCACAAGUUCUCCGUCGUCGUGUCAGCAACAGGUGGCCUGUAAAACAAUCGUCUCAAGGAAGAUCAACAGUACCAUUAUCAAUGCAGCGAUUCAGAAAUAACGAGUUGUACUCGCAACCAAACAAUACUAUAUUAUAACAAACACAACUCGUCUUGGUGGUUCAAUAAUUAAUUAUUCAAGUAAAUCCAGGAUAUUGAUUAUCUUAGACACAGGUGCUACAAAUGGUGGCAUUUUAUUCUAUAUAUUGUAACUGGAUAGGUUCGGGUUCCUCAGGUGGUAUCUCAUUCAAGUUCAACUGAUUAUAUCUGAUUCCUAUGUAAGCAUGAAUGUCGCCUGGCACUUGUGUAGCGCCCACUGCUGUGGGGAUCAGCAGAUGCAGUAGCCCUCGUGCACAGGGAAUACAACGGCAGCCGGUGACAAUUAACACGGUCUCUGCAUUUAUUCCCGCAACGGGCACUUACUGGAUCAUGCUUUUCCA